UACGGGGGGAGCAAGCGUUGUUCGGAUUUACUGGGCGUAAAGGGCGCGUAGGCGGUCAGCACAAGUCAGUUGUGAAAUCUCCCGGGCUUAACCCGGAAAGGUCAACUGAUACUGUGCGACUAGAGUGCGGAAGGGGCAACUGGAAUUCUCGGUGUAGCGGUGAAAUGCGUAGAUAUCGAGAGGAACACCUGCGGCGAAGGCGGGUUGCUGGGCCGACACGUGACGCUGGACUGCGCGAAAGCCAGGGGAGCGAACGGG
rnacentral:rRNA from 1 species